rnacentral:rRNA from 1 species
CCUUGUACACACCGCCCGUCACGCCAUGGAAGCUCGGAGCGCCCGAAGUCGGUGUCGAAACCCUCACGGGAUCAAGCCGCCGAAGGCGAGCCGGGUGACCGGGGCG